AUGCUGUGAUGAGCAUUUAUCCCGAACCUGACUGUUCUGAUGAAACAUUUACGGAUCUGACUCCUGAGCU
ensembl:snoRNA